GUGCAAACUCCAGGACCUAUUGUACAAUACACUGGACCCAAAGCUGAAAGUUCAGAAAUGACCAGCACAGGGUCUUCUGGUAAGUGUGA